rnacentral:rRNA from 1 species
UAGGGAAUCUUCCACAAUGGACGCAAGUCUGAUGGAGCAACGCCGCGUGAGUGAAGAAGGGUUUGGCUCGUAAAGCUCUGUUGUUAAAGAAGAACGUGGGUAAGAGUAACUGUUUACCCAGUGACGGUAUUUAACCAGAAAGCCACGGCUAACUACGUGCCAG